rnacentral:rRNA from 1 species
GACAGGGGAUGCAAGCGUUAUCCGGAAUGAUUGGGCGUAAAGCGUCUGUAGGUGGCUUAAAAAGUCUCCUGUCAAAGAUCAGGCUUAACCCUGGGCCGGCAGGAGAAACUCUUAGGCUAGAGUUUGGUAGGGGCAGAGGGAAUUCCCGGUGGAGCGGUGAAAUGCGUAGAGAUCGGAAAGAACACCAACGGCGAAAGCACUCUGCUGGGCCGACACUGACACUGAGAGACGAAAGCUAGGGGAGCGAAUGGG